CUGACGUGGGCUACAACACGGAUAGAAAGAUCAUGAAGGCAGACACACGAUGCCACGUGUCACAUGGCUGCAUCUGUGUGAAACACUCAGAAUAGGCACCUCCAUAGUGACAGAAGGUAGAAUAGUGUUUGCCACCGGCAGGGAGGGGAGGGGAAAAUGGGGACUGACUGACCGCUAAUGAGGAUGAGGUUUCUGUUUGGGGUGAUGCAUGAAACUGUGAAUACGCUGAAAACCUCUGAAAGGACUUCAAAAACCCAAGACAGUGGAGGACGGCAGGUUACAGCCCUCAGUUCUGGAGAAGAGGGCCAUCACUGUCACAUCCCAGAUCCAUGCAGCUGGCCUCGCUGAUUCAUGGUACUUCCUGAGCUGCCUUCCUCUUCCUCACGACUGCCCUGGGGAAGGUAAAAGCAGUGGCUGCGAGCACCAGUCAAGGCAAGAAAGGGAGGAGAACCAAAGGGAUGAGAACCGCAGACCUGGCGGCUCAGGAAGCAAGCAUGGCCACCGGCAGGCCCGCCUGCCCAGCCCAGACCCCGACACUCAGGCUGAACUGACCUUUGUGAUGGCGACUGAGCUCCAGAAAGCAGAGUUACGCAAACCCUGGCUCAGAGCGGUGCAGGAACCGCCUGCAGGGCACACAGCUGGCAGGCAGCGGAGGCUGGCAGGUGGGCUCCAGAGGCUGCCCUCCACCAGUGCACGCACCGAGCUCUCCGAGCAAGCACAACACUGCUGGAAGGAGGCCUGAAGGACUUUCCCGAGCUGUACUUCCCCCCAAUGUUUAUCAGGAAAAAUGCCAAACAUACAAAAAGUUGAAAGAAUUUUCCAGUGAAUUCCCACAUACUUAACACCUGGAUGACAUCAUCUGGCUAUUUUCAGUAAUACCACCCAUUUAGUUAAGAGGGGCUGAGUCUAUUUGUCACACUUUUUCAAGGGUAUCCAAUAAAAGUGGUAUUGAAAGAGUAAGGCCCUAUCUAGAAAGCCCAUCCAGAAGCAGCUCAUGGACCCUGCCGGACAUGUGGGGCAGCAGUUACCCUGAGGAAACAGACUGUUAGCCAAGUCAAGCCCUGAGUGAGGUGAGC
rnacentral:lncRNA from 1 species